rnacentral:rRNA from 1 species
UACGUAGGGGGCUAGCGUUGUCCGGAAUCAUUGGGCGUAAAGCGCGUGUAGGCGGUCCGGUAAGUCCGCUGUGAAAGUCGGGGGCUCAACCCUCGAAUGCCGGUGGAUACUGUCAGACUAGAGUACGGAAGAGGCGAGUGGAAUUCCUGGUGUAGCGGUGAAAUGCGCAGAUAUCAGGAGGAACACCCAUUGCGAAGGCAGC